UACGUAGGGCGCAAGCGUUAUCCGGAAUUAUUGGGCGUAAAGAGCUCGUAGGCGGUUUGUCGCGUCUGCCGUGAAAGUCCGGGGCUCAACUCCGGAUCUGCGGUGGGUACGGGCAGACUAGAGUGAUGUAGGGGGAGACUGGAAUUCCUGGUGUAGCGGUGAAAUGCGCAGAUAUCAGGAGGAACACCGAUGGCGAAGGCAGGUCUCUGGGCAUUAACUGACGCUGAGGAGCGAAAGCGUGGGGAGCAAACAGG
rnacentral:rRNA from 1 species